UACGGAGGGUGCAAGCGUUAAUCGGAAUUACUGGGCGUAAAGCGCACGUAGGCGGCUUUGCAAGUCAGGUGUGAAAGCCCACGGCUCAACCGUGGAACUGCACUUGAAACUGCUUGGCUUGAGUCCGAGAGAGGGUGGCGGAAUUCCGGGUGUAGGAGUGAAAUCCGUAGAUAUCCGGAGGAACACCAGUGGCGAAGGCGGCCACCUGGAUCGGUACUGACGCUGAGGUGCGAAAGCGUGGGGAGCAAACAGG
rnacentral:rRNA from 1 species